rnacentral:rRNA from 1 species
UAUCUCUGUAGAGUCUGCAUAUCAAUAAGCGGAGGAAAAGAAACUAACUAGGAUUCCCUUAGUAACGGCGAGUGAAGCGGGAAGAGCUCAAAUUUGAAAUCUUCAAGGUUCUACCUUGACGAAUUGUAGUUUAAAGAAGUGUUUUCUGUUAGGUAUUGAGUAGCAAAAGUUCCUUGGAAUAGGACAUCAUAGAGGGUGAGAAUCCCGUAUUUGGUACAUUAUUUCUAGCUUUGUGAUACACUUUCAAAGAGUCGGAUUGUUUGGGAAUGCAGUCCAAAAUGGGUGGUAAAUUUCAUCUAAAGCUAAAUAUUGGCGAGAGACCGGUAGCGAACAAGUACCGUGAGGGAAAGAUGAAAAGAACUUUGAAAAGAGAGUUAAACAGUACGUGAAAUUGUCAAAAGGGAAGCGUUUGACACCAGUGUUGUUUUUCCGAAAAUCAAUUACGAAUGGCUUGAUUCUGUGUUGUAUUGACCUUAUCAGCUUUCUUCACUUUUUUCGAGUCUUUCUUAAUGCACUUUUCGGUUAACAAGUCAACAUCAAUUUCUUUUGUUGUAAAAGAGUAUUCGGAAGGUGGCUUUCUUUUCGGAGAAAGUGUUUAUAGCCCUAUACUUCUACAAUCGGAGAGAUUGAGGUCUGCAGCGUAGAUCCUUCGGGGUUAGAUACACUUUGUGCUAAGUUGUAGCUUUUCAUAGACAACUUGUUGACUAUGUUUAGUCAUGCGGCUUACUCGCUUGUGCUAUUUUACCUACGCUUAGGAUGUUGAAGAUGUAGCACAUCAU